rnacentral:rRNA from 1 species
GAUGAACGCUGGCGGCGUGCCUAAUACAUGCAAGUCGAGCGAACAGAUGAGGAGCUUGCUCCUCUGACGUUAGCGGCGGACGGGUGAGUAACACGUGGAUAACCUACCUAUAAGACUGGGAUAACUUCGGGAAACCGGAGCUAAUACCGGAUAAUAUAUUGAACCGCAUGGUUCAAUAGUGAAAGACGGUUUUGCUGUCACUUAUAGAUGGAUCCGCGCCGCAUUAGCUAGUUGGUAAGGUAACGGCUUACCAAGGCAACGAUGCGUAGCCGACCUGAGAGGGUGAUCGGCCACACUGGAACUGGGACACGGUCCAGACUCCUACGGGAGGCAGCAGUAGGGAAUCUUCCGCAAUGGGUGAAAGCCUGACGGAGCAACGCCGCGUGAGUGAUGAAGGUCUUCGGAUCGUAAAACUCUGUUAUUAGGGAAGAACAAAUGUGUAAGUAACUAUGCACGUCUUGACGGUACCUAAUCAGAAAGCCACGGCUAACUACGUG